rnacentral:rRNA from 1 species
UACAGAGGUCUCAAGCGUUGUUCGGAUUCAUUGGGCGUAAAGGGAGCGUAGGUGGCGGGGCAAGUCAGGUGUGAAAUCUCGGGGCUCAACCCCGAAACUGCACUUGAUACUGCCUUGCUCGAGUACUGGAGAGGAGAUUGGAAUUUACGGUGUAGCAGUGAAAUGCGUAGAUAUCGUAAGGAAGACCAGUGGCGAAGGCGAAUCUCUGGACAGUUACUGACACUGAGGCUCGAAGGCCAGGGGAGCAAACGGG